AAUAAUAAGUCAGCGGUGAAAGCCUGCGGCUUAACCGUAGAAUUGCCAUUGAUACUGUUAUUCUUGAGUAUAGUUGAAGUGGGCGGAAUGUGUAAUGUAGCGGUGAAAUGCUUAGAUAUUACACAGAACACCAAUUGCGAAGGCAGCUCACUAAGCUGUUACUGACGCUGAGGCACGAAAGCGUGGGGAGCAAACAGGAUUAGAUACCCUGGUAGUCCACGCUGUAAACGAUGAUCACUCGUUGUUGGCGAUACACCGUCAGCGACUGAGCGAAAGCAAUAAGUGAUCCACCUGGGGAGUACGGCGGCAACGCUGAAACUCAAAGGAAUUGACGGGGGCCCGCACAAGCGGAGGAACAUGUGGUUUAAUUCGAUGAUACGCGAGGAACCUUACCUGGGCUUGAAAGGGGAUCGACCUCCCGGGAAACCGGGAUUCUCUUCGGAGCGGUCUCCUAGGUGCUGCAUGGUUGUCGUCAGCUCGUGCCGUGAGGUGUCGGGUUAAGUCCCAUAACGAGCGCAACCCCUAUUGUUAGUUGCCAGCGGGUAAUGCCGGGAACUCUAACGAAACUGCCGGUGUAAACCGAGAGGAAGGUGGGGAUGACGUCAAAUCAGCACGGCCCUUAUGUCCAGGGCUACACACGUGUUACAAUGGCCGGCACAAAGGGCAGCUAUGCCGCGAGGCAAUGCUAAUCUCUAAAACCGGUCUCAGUUCGGAUCGAAGUCUGCGACUCGACUUCGUGAAGCUGGAUUCGCUAGUAAU
rnacentral:rRNA from 1 species